ensembl:lncRNA
GAAAGAACAGCAGGGUGAUUUAAAGAAAUCCCCUGUCAUUUAAAUUGGUCCUUCGAACCUAGCGAUGGAAACAACAGACACAUUUCUGUGACUCCAAUAAGGUCUGACUUCUGCAUCCUGAUGCCGUGGGUAAACCAGCACCGAAGUCUGUCCACAGCCCUCUCCAGGUAGAGGUGAGAGUCCUGGAACGUUGAAUUCGGGUCCAGGCCGGUGGUUUAGUACUGGUCCACGACGUUGGGAUCCAGAUGACCUGAACAACCAGCAAAAGACAAUUGAGGGUUGAAACCAAGUGUUAUUGACAACACCCACAGCCUGUAAAAUUGCAGAGAGACCAUCUUGGACACAUCAGAGCCACUGCAAAAAGGUUGAGGUCCCGGGAAGCCCCGACAUCGAGGAGGAAGCGCCUACGCUUGGUUGUUUCGGGGGUGAGGGUGGUAAGUGCGUUCUUGGGGCCCCCGUAGGGUAAGCCCGCACUCCAAUCUCUAUCCGAUCAACUUUAGGCAGCCAGGUGUAGGUGUGAAGGGGGACCCUGAUGGUUACCUUGACUACAAAGCUCACCCUUACAGGACCCCAGCCGAUGCCUACAGCAGCUGAGCCACGAGGCAGACAGAGAAGAUGGACGUAUGACAACUUACACCUAAUGGACAUGACACAAGAUCACAUCCAUUCUUGGAUGAAAAAUGCCUGAUACAGAGAUGUGUUUAGCAAGACCACAGAGAAAGACUGUUACGUCUGCUCGCACAUGCCGAGCAUAUUAACACAACCAUAUAUGGGAAACACCCUGGGACAGGUGCACUAAUUCUGAUCUCUGACCACCUUGAGAGUGACUUUUGCAAAGUGAACAACAACAACAACAUCGUCAUCCUAAUCCAGGAAGAAACGCUCAACUUCAACAGUCAGACUACAUGACUCAACCUGGGAAACCAACGUACCUGAAGAAUUCAAACUUUGGACAAUUGGACAAAAGGUACUCAACUCACUCCUCCUGUAGGCAGGAGUUGGAAAGCAUGCUCUCAGAAGUGAGAUAAUGGACUAUAGAUUCGGAUUGUUUCUCAAAGCAUCCUGCGAGGUCAACGAGGGACAAAACAAAGAAAUAGACGCUCUCAGAAUUGCUGUAAUGCAACAUCGUGUAGCACUGCACUUGAUCCUUCAGACAUGACUUCAAGUUUUAAAGAGACUGUUGAUCGUCGUUGGACUUUUCCUGAUUUUAUUUUGUUUUCUUUAUUUGAGUUAUUACUUGUUUAAAGCUGUAAUUUCACAGAUGAUAAGUUUAUCAUUCACAGCAUACGCAGAUGUACUGAAAUCUAUGAAGAUCAUGAAGAAUUCUUUUCCUGUUUGUUUCAUGAAGAUGAAGUGUAACUUAUGAUGUAGUAACUGAGAAUGUGAAAGACAAGUAGUUACUUAUUGUACAUUUCAUUUCUCUGAUAAACAGGGCGGAAUGUCAAGAGAAAAUUGUAUAUAUGUGAUCAGCUACAUGAAAUGUAUCCUUUCAUUAUUUGUGAUUAAGCAUAUUUCUACAUGACUUUUCACCUAGUGACUUGUGUGAUGAACUUAUGCAGAUACUAACCGCAUCCUGUCGUUCUGAACAUUUAGAUGUAGAGAAGACCAAGCUCAGCUCUUUUACGAGAACAUGCAAAUGUAGAGAAGGGGAAAAACCCGCUGCUCUGAAUGACGUUGUUACCUUUGUAUACACACACACACACACACACACACACACACACACACACACACACACACACACACACAGGAACAUCUUGUAUAAAUAAAGGACGCGGACAGUCAAUAGACACAGAUCCUGUGUUCAUGGCUGCCCUCGCGAGCGAAAGAACUGCAGUGUUUUUGUUUUCUAAACUCAGGAGUCUUGGCUAAAGAAAGAACGGCAGGGUG